GACGUAGGAGGCGAGCGUUGUCCGGAAUCAUUGGGCGUAAAGCGCGCGUAGGCGGCCCGGUAAGUCCGCUGUGAAAGUCCAGGGCUCAACCCUGGAAAGCCGGUGGAUACUGCCGGGCUAGAGUCCGGGAGAGGCGAGUGGAAUUCCUGGUGUAGCGGUGGAAUGCGCAGAUAUCAGGAGGAACACCUAAGGCGAAGGCAGCUCGCUGGAACGGUACUGACGCUGAGGCGCGAAAGCGUGGGGAGCAAACAGG
rnacentral:rRNA from 1 species